rnacentral:rRNA from 1 species
AGUGAACGCUGGCGGUAGGCCUAACACAUGCAAGUCGAACGGCAGCACAGUAAGAGCUUGCUCUUACGGGUGGCGAGUGGCGGACGGGUGAGGAAUACAUCGGAAUCUACUUUUUCGUGGGGGAUAACGUAGGGAAACUUACGCUAAUACCGCAUACGACCUACGGGUGAAAGCAGGGGAUCUUCGGACCUUGCGCGAUUGAAUGAGCCGAUGUCGGAUUAGCUAGUUGGCGGGGUAAAGGCCCACCAAGGCGACGAUCCGUAGCUGGUCUGAGAGGAUGAUCAGCCACACUAGAACUGAGACACGGUCCAGACUCCUACGGGAGGCAGCAGUGGGGAAUGUUGGACAAUGGGCGCAAGCCUGAUCCAGCCAUACCGCGUGCGUGAAGAAGGCCUUCGGGUUGUAAAGCCCUUUUGUUGGGAAAGAAAAGCAGCAAGUUAAUACCCCGCUGUUCUGACGGUACCCAAAGAAUAAGCACCGGCUAACUUCGUG